AUGGCUCAGAUUGAACGCUAGCGGGAUGCCUUACACAUGCAAGUCGAACGGCAGCACGGACUUCGGUCUGGUGGCGAGUGGCGAACGGGUGAGUAAUGUAUCGGAACGUGCCUAGUAGCGGGGGAUAACUACGCGAAAGCGUAGCUAAUACCGCAUACGCCCUACGGGGGAAAGCAGGGGAUCGCAAGACCUUGCACUAUUAGAGCGGCCGAUAUCGGAUUAGCUAGUUGGUGGGGUAACGGCUCACCAAGGCGACGAUCCGUAGCUGGUUUGAGAGGACGACCAGCCACACUGGGACUGAGACACGGCCCAGACUCCUACGGGAGGCAGCAGUGGGGAAUUUUGGACAAUGGGGGAAACCCUGAUCCAGCCAUCCCGCGUGUGCGAUGAAGGCCUUCGGGUUGUAAAGCACUUUUGGCAGGAAAGAAACGUUCCGGGUUAAUACCCCGGGAAACUGACGGUACCUGCAGAAUAAGCACCGGCUAACUACGUGCCAGCAGCCGCGGUAAUACGUAGGGUGCAAGCGUUAAUCGGAAUUACUGGGCGUAAAGCGUGCGCAGGCGGUUCGGAAAGAAAGAUGUGAAAUCCCAGAGCUUAACUUUGGAACUGCAUUUUUAACUACCGAGCUAGAGUGUGUCAGAGGGAGGUGGAAUUCCGCGUGUAGCAGUGAAAUGCGUAGAUAUGCGGAGGAACACCGAUGGCGAAGGCAGCCUCCUGGGAUAACACUGACGCUC
rnacentral:rRNA from 1 species